UUGCCCGGCGCUUUGCUGCGCGGUGUCUGCGGCCCCGGGGCCUGCUCUGUGCGGCCAGCGCCGCCCCCCGGGCUGCCGCCAAGCACCGGCGCCGCCGCCCCCCCGGUUCCCCCCGGUUCUCCCCGUUCCCCCCCCGGCCUCCCCAGGCCCUGUACAGGGGUCCCGGGCCCGGGGCUGUCCCCCCCGCCGUGCCGGGGGCGGUGGGCACGGGACGUGCUGCUCAGCCCGUGCCUCGUCUGUGGCCCACACCCGGCCAGCGGCCUGGGGCCGGGGGGGCAUCGCUGCCGUCCCCCGGCACAGCCCCGCUCGGCACCGGCACCGGGGCUGGUGGGAGGCCCAAGGGCAGCGGCCCCUGCCGCCCCCGCCACCUGCCCCCACCGCCCACACGGUGCUCCCGGCGCUGGGGGUGCUCCCGCCUGGGCAGGCCCCGGCCUGCCACUCCCUGCCUCAGUUUCCCCGGGCGUGCGGCGACGCCGGCUCUCGGCUGCGAGCCCGGCACGGACGCGAGCGCAGGCACGGCUCGCCCUGCCCGGGACGGGGCUGUCCCCGCUGCCGCUGAGGGUGCCGAGCCCCGGGGCUGAGCCCCCCGUGCCCACGGCCCCGGAGCUGGGAGCGGGGCCUGGGGAGGCCUCGGUGCGGGGACGUGGGGAGCGGGGGAGCGCCGCUGCUGUGGCCACCCCUCGGCGUUGGGUGUUUCUUGUCCCCUCCCUGCCUCGCAUUUUGUUGCAAAAUACCAAAUUUUCGUGUUUUUUUGCUUGGCAGAGGGAGGGGGUUCCCUGGAAAUGGGGCCUGGCAAACAGGAGGGCACCAAGGAACACCCCCAGCCCUCCGCCAGCCCCGGGACAGCCUCAUCCCAUGUCCCUGUCCCUAACGCGUGUGCCCGGCUCUGUUGCACGUGGGGACAUGGGGACAGGGGCUGGGCAGCGAGGUGGGGACAGAGCCAUGCAGGUUGUCCCAGCAAGGCAGGGAAGGGGACACGGGGACACGGGGACCCAGAUCUGCGCAGCAGGGCCCCAGCCAGGCUGCACCAGGAGCCCUGCGGGGCCCGGAGCCGUGACGUGGGCCCGUCCCCGCAGGUCCCCGUCCCCACGGGUCCCAUCCCUGCCCUCCCCGGCCGUCCCCGAGCCCGGGGCUGCUGGCGGCUGCUCAGAGCCCACACGCAAUUAA
rnacentral:lncRNA from 1 species